GGAAGGAUCAUUAAACGAUAUUGCGGCUCGCCGUCUCGGUGAACUCUUCAUAUCGACACACACACUGCGUACCCACCUGUUGCCUCCGCCGGGAGACACUCCCGGCGAGCGGGGAGCUCGAUAACACCCUUUGCAUUGCAUUGCAGUCAGUCUGAACUCAUUGAGAGAAACUGUCACAAAACUUUCAGCAACGGAUCUCUUGGUUCUCGCAUCGAUGAAGAACGCAGCGAAAUGCGAUAAGUAGUGUGAAUUGCAGAAUUCAGUGAAUCAUCGAAUCUUUGAACGCACAUUGCGCCUCCCGGCAUUCCGGGAGGCAUGCCUGUCCGAGCACCAACACGAAAUUCAGUCAGGCCGUCAAGUGGCCUGGUGGUGGGGGAUGGGGCGGCGUGCCUUCGGGCUCGCUCCCACCCCUGAAAGCAAAUGGUGGAAUGGACCGAGUGCCCCGGCGUGAUAACAACGUUUCGCUAGGCGUCUCAGUCGCACUCCCCCCGCAAAAGCGAGAGACAAAGCUUUGAUCUCGGAUCAGGUAGGGAUACCCGCUGAACUUAAGCAUAUCAAUAAGCGGAGGAAAAGAAACCAACAGGGAUUGCCCCAGUAACUGCGAGUGAAGCGGCAAGAGCUCAAAUUUGAAAUCCAAAGCGCCUCAGCGGCGUCAGGAGUUGUAAUUUGGAGAGACAUCUUUGGAGGGCGGUUCCGUCUGAGGUUCCUUGGAACAGGACAUCAGAGAGGGUGAGAAUCCCGUGCCCGGACGGCGACUGCCUUUGAGUGAAGAGUCUUCGACGAGUCGAGUUGUU
rnacentral:rRNA from 1 species